AAUACACACAUUCAUAUUUCAUAUUGCGCAGAGAUGUGUUGCGCUGUGUAAAACACGUCGACUAUUCAUAUUUUAUCAAAAUAAAUAAUUAUUUACCACCUUGAUGGUUAAAAAACUCGAUUCGUCAGUUAAUCAACACGUUACAACUAAAUGAAUAUGAAUUAGUGCUGAAUUGUUAUUUUGUUAUCUGUGUAUCAAUAUUACUUGUUCAAGUUCGUUGAAAGAGCUUGGAAAAACUAUAGCAAUAUUGCCAAGUUUAUAGUCGUUUAAUUUCUUUAUUUUCAAAACAAUGGGUAUUAAUAUAAUGCAUGUGUCACUGUUAACUAUAGCACAGUUUCUGUGUUUUACAAGAACAUCAGCGGUGUUUUGUGAGUGGUCGGUAUGCCAUCCCACAGAGCAAUAUUGUUGUGGCCAUAACAUAUGCUGCAAUUAUUUUACCUAUACCACUUGGUACUUGUGGGGAGGUGCCGUGUUGAUAGGACUGUUGUUGGUUGUACUGUACUACAUGUUUUGUUCCCCGUCAUGUCCUGACAGAUCCGAUCCCGAAAGUGACAAAACUCCAAUAGUGAUGCAGUAGCAUGAUUCCCAGAUGAUCAGCAAUUUCCUAAAUGUUGGAGACCUUUGGCAGGCUGCAACUUUUGAGUAAUUAAAAAAUGUAAAUGGUAUAAAAUAAUUGUUAAAGACAUGUAACUUGCUGUACCAUGAGAGGACAACUUAGUUUAUAUUUAUGUAAAAUUCGUUUUAGUGAAAUCACAAUUUAAAUGUUAAUAUACAAGAGAACGAUUUUUACUGUUAACGAGUUGUAUUUAUUAGUUUAUUAUAAGGCUUAGUGUAUUCUUGUUUUUUUUUAUAGUUAUAAAGUAAUCCUAUGGUACAUACAUAGUAAGAUUGAAGUGAAAACAAAAGAAAAAGUUUGAAAUGGAAUAUUAUCUUAUAAAUUAAACCAAAUUAUUUACUUUACAGAAAAACAGUCAAAAUCAAAAAGAUAAAAAUUUAAAUUACUUUAAAAAAAUAUUUACCUUGGUGAUUUUUUAGUGGAUUAUUGUGAUUCCAAGUUCUUAAUCAUCUUAUUUUGAGAAAAUUUGAAAUUUUUCUUUCAGCAUUUAUUAGGUCCCAAAUUUGUCUAUAAACCCUUUCUCCUCGUACAGCCAGUGCUGCUGGCCACUGCCAUUUCUUUGCCAGCUAAGAGUUUUUUAGUUGAAUUAUCUUCUCAGGUUGACUGGCCAGCUCCGUGGUUUUUGUGUCAACUCGGACAUAUCUAGUAAUUUGUGUUUUCCCUGAGGUCAUAUAUUCAGCAAGUUGCCAUUCAGACAUUAUUUUGUUUGAUAUAUUCUGUUUAGCUACUAAGGAAACGCAAAAAAAAAAACACCCAGCAGGGAUCACUUCUGGCUGGUUUAUAUCUUCCAGUUGAACCUACCACUUGGCACAGCAAAAACCAAUGUGUCACUUAAAUCUGGGCAACUCUAUGGAUAUCCAGUAGUGGCAAAUCACUAACCACAAAUGUCGAGAUUCUGGGCUGCAAGGGCAAUUUGAUAGGUCUAGUCUACUACGGGAGAUGACUGUUGGAGUUGGUGGGGCUUGUUCCCUAAUCUCAGAGGUUCUUGCUAGCCUCAGCAAGGGUGUGCCAGCUUCUGCCUGGGUUGACUGGAGAGGCUGGUUCAGAGCUGGCUUCCCCUUCUUCCGGGAGAGCAUGACUUUGAGAUUAGUGCCUUAAAUUCUUUCUCAUGGAUCUCGAUAAGAGGCGGCCACUAACCCCAACCUUACCCAUUCAGAAUAUCCUGUCACUCCAGAAGCAGCAGAAAGAUUCUUAUAGGACUAACUGGAAUUUAUAAGCUUCUUGUCCUAAGAGAAAAAAGAAGGAAACGCACAAACCCAUGAUGGCUGGCAGUGCUGAUCACCAAACUUGAGAGUACAUUUUAGUAAGUGUACUGAGCUAACACAGAAAUAGCAGUGGCCAACAGCACUGGUCUAGAUGAACAAUUCUUAAAACACUGUUUCAAGGGUAGAGGAUUAAUGCCCUGAAGUAUCAGGUUGACAAACAUUUGUGAAUUUAGUGUUGAAAGAAUGUAAAAUAACAUUUGUAAUUUUUCUAAAAGGACCAGCCGUUUAUCAAAAUGUGUCAUUAACAAAAUACUUCUAUGAUAAAUUAUAGCCGUUUCCUCUAACACGAGUUUUAAUUUGAUUCCAGUCAAAAUGUACUUUUACUUUGACUUUUAAUCAUCAUCAAUGUCAAGAACCUACAAGAAUUUAUUAAACCAAAAGUAGUAUUUAAAUUGAUUGGGCAUAUCUUAGUACUUCAUUUUAAUAAAUAAAAAAUAAUUUGUUUUUCCAUUUUUUUAGUUAAUAAUCUUUUUCAAAAUCCCAAUUUUCCACAGUUGUCACAUUUAGCCAAAGAUUGUGACUUUUGUCAUGGGAAUUCAAAUUACUUGGACAAAUAUUUUUUUUCACACGUUUUUUAACUAUUACUGGUCUCUAUUUAAUUCCUAAUGGCCAAAUCUGAACGCAUUUCCCCCUUCGUGACUGAUGAAAUCGAGUAAAACAAAAUUUAAGUAUUACUUAAUACACUCAUUUUACUAUAUUUGGACAAAUUAAAGUAUAUCAAUACUUCCCCAUAAUACCCGAUUAUACAAGACAAUUCUCCCUAUCAUUGUCUUCUAUUCCCAAAUUAAUAAUAACAUUUGCAAAACUUAUAACAGUUAAAGAAGCUAUUUACAAAAAUUAUAAUUAAGCCUCGUCGCUUUUAGAUAUACGUAAUGCAAAGAAGGGCUGUAAUAAAGAACUAUUACGAGAUUAGAGAAAUUAGAACUUUGCUUCACGAGAUAAGUUUUAUUGUUAUAACUAAUAAAACAAAAUUAGAUAUAACAUACAUUUAGUGUAUUCUCCACAGUCUCUGGUGUUCUGUGACUAUCUUUGCUGAGGACAUCACCAAGACUGUGCUGGUCCAAGCUCAUCAAGUACAGACGUCUCGGAUUAUGUCGUUGAUUAUUCUUUGAUGCUUAUUUAUUUAAGUUGUUUUCAUUGUAUUUUAGAAGACUAAUCUUAACCAAAGAAUUAAGAAUUUAUUUCAGUAUUAAUACAAAAUUUGAUAAGUAGGUCUAGAACUUAUAGGAAUACCUUAAUGAAAUAAUUAUUUUGAGUCAAUUACUGUAUAUUCUUCGUGUAGUGUUAUGCACAGAGAUUUUUAACUUGUCGUUAUAAUAUCCUUGGUUGAUCUUAAAAGAUAUCAAUUCACUAUUCGAACAGUAGAUUUGUAUGAAACUGAUUGUAGUAGCAUAUAUAUAUAUGCACUUAUUUUGCAUGAAAAAUCUGGUAAAAUAUGUAGUUCUCCAAGCCGGCAAGUUUUAGAUAAAAAUUUAUUUCAAAACCACUCGCACAUGAAAUUGAAACUUUACACAUCCUACCGUACACAAACAACCAGUGGAAUAUGAGGAUUAUCGUCAUCCCAAACACAAAGUAGCGUAACCCUUCACUAAUUUAAAAAUCAAUUUUUUACAGGCCUUGACUUAAAACCAUUUCAAUAAGGUUAACCAUCAAAAAUAAAAAAAUCAUAAGUUUUUAAAAUCAAAAUCAAAACAUGUUAUGUUAAUCAUGUACGAUGUAGUGACUCUUUAUGAAUAUAAAUAUACAUGAAAUGUGUUCAUGACAAGUACUGUUACUCAUGAAAAAUCUUACAGAGGCAUAAUUUUGUGUGUUACAUUCUAAAAAUUGCGUUUCAGCACCUACGCUACUUCUUGUUUGGGGGUGAUGAUGAUACAAACUCUAUCAACACAAUGAAUUUCAAGUAUUUGUAGCCAUGGUAAACAACUGUAUUAUUCAUGUUAUGAUUUCAAAUUGUUAUAAACUGAAGUAGUGGUUAUGUCAAGAGAGAUUUUAUUCUCUAUCCUUUUAGAGAAGUACAUAUUUUUAAAUGUAAGUUUCCAAACUCUUUGUUUCUCUUGAAAGUAAACAAACUUCUUGCAUGUGA
rnacentral:lncRNA from 1 species